AUGGUGUUUGUGAUGGGAGCUGCCGCGGCACAGUGCAGUGGAGCGCCUUGCCUGAAGUUGCUCUGCAAAUCCAUCACAGAGCCUGGAAUGAAAUCCACUGCAUUUGAGCAAUGUGGGAAGUGGCACAGCAGGCAGAAAUGCCUAAUGCACAACAAGCUGAAAAGAAAAUCCAGGAAAACUGGUUGUUACCUCAGAAAUAAAGGAGCUGCCUCAGCCCUCCUGGCGAGCACGCCAAGCAUGCUGCAGCCUCACCCUGUGUCAGUGCGUGGCCAUUGGAAGAGCCUGGACCAAAAUGCUCACUUAGAGCAGCCCCCAAAUGUGGUGGGAACACACCAGUUAAGUGUGGUUCCAAGCUUUAGCAUGUAAUGCUAAACCUUAGUAAGAUUCAGGUGAGUGAAUCUUUUUUUUUCUCCCGAUGCUUGUAUAAAUUGUGAGGCUAUGGCUUCAAGGGAAAUUUUAGGAAUUAGAGUCCCCCACAUAGGAUUCAGUGCAAAUGAAGUGCAGAUGUAACAAGUGUUAACUACAGUGCUGAUGCUCUGGGAUUUUGGCAAUCUCUGCAGCAGAAGUGCUGGAGGAAGUUACAAAUUUAGGCCAGAUCUGAAUGAAUUCUGUGUCACAGUUCUAGACCCAGAAGGUGACUUUUGCUUCCUCUGGCUCUGGAUUCUCCUCAUCCCACUGCAAUACGGGGCUGAGGGGUGCAUGAGGCAUAAUGAUAGAUGGAAUGAUUUUGUGUGGUUUUAAUGAGGAAGCUGCAUUACAUGGGUCUGUAUGUAGCAUUGCAUUAGAUCAGUUUUCUGCCUUCUGCAAAAUUGAUUAUAUACCCAUUUAUCACCUCCUACAUUCACACUAAACUCAUUCCAUUUGCCUUUUCUUUUUCUUCGGAUGUGCAUUUUACACCAUGAAAAACGACAGCACGUUGGAAAGAACGAAUAAAUAUCUCAGUAAAUUCCAAGAGUUUAACUCACAUCCUCAAACACAUGGGAUAAAAUAGAAGGAAAACCAUGGUCAAAUGUGCAGGUUACGUAAGUUGACAUAUAUCUAGCUGGAGAUGCUGAGUUUUCCUCUUGCCCAAGUAGUUCAGGGAUUUCUCUGCCGAAGCCAAUGGAAUUUGGUCUAUGUAAAAAUGGAAACAGUCUGUCUGAGUUAUAAAUGGCACUUGCUGCCAGCAGAAUCAAAAUCAUGAGGAGCAAAGCUCCUACCAUCAGGAGCUGGAAGAAAGGGGACUGGGGAGCAGGGGAUGUGAUGGCUCUAUCACAAAAAAAUAAAAUAAUAAUAAAAAAAUAAUACAAAAUAAGACCUGUGAAGUAUUUACAGAAUAAUAAUCCACUGCUUACCUUUUUCCUAAAACCCCAGCAGCUUUAGGGCACAUUCCCCUUCCCACCCUUGUUGCACCUGCUGGGAGCCCCCCAGGUUGUCCAGGCACGGCCCCUGCCAGCAGCACUCCUGGCACUCCUGCUCCGUCUCGCCCGGCGCUGCCCAAAGCUGCCGCUGGGUUUUCGCCAGCGAAUUCUGGUAAUUGUAUUACUCUUGCAAUAUGAAGUCAGCGCAGACUUCCCAUUACUAAAUUUAAGAUCCUCCUCUUUUAUACACGUUCCAUAGAGAAAUAAUAUUUUGGGCUUGUGUUUGAUGGUGUUUAUUCAUAGGCAAAACACCAGGGAGAUUUCUAACAACACUGUCUCUUCCCAAUUAGCUGCAGACCUGCGAGGCAUCUAAGAAAUGCUUUUAUGCUUUGUAUAGAGUGUUUGAUGGAGGUACUUAAUUUAAAAUUUUAAGAGUAUUACAUGUGGCAGGUUAUAAAUCUGAGAAAGAGGAAAGAGAAUAAAUAGAGAAACCACGCUGGAUGUUUGUUUUUGAAAGUGCUGACUUUAGCAGUGUGAAGAUGUUUUUGGUUCAGGCUCAAGAAGGCACUUGGGUAAGAAGCACCACACUGCUGCAUCAGGGCAGGAUUUUCUUUGGGGAAAGAAAAAAUAAAAGCUGUAUUUCCAAGAAUCCAUGAGUGUAACCUGUUCUAAACAAUCUGCAAUACAGAAACCUAUUUGAGCAAAACCAGGGCUGGAUCUGGAGGAGAGAAUCAUGCAGCUGGAGCCAGGCAGCCUUGGCCAUCAUGGGCGCAGCUGGGAGCUGGGGGCGGAUUUAGGGAGGUGGUCCCGGGCUGGGCUCAGGCUGAAGGGCAGGUGGGGGGUGGCCGAGGGGUGUAUGUGUGUAGCUGGUGGUGGUCCUGUUUCCUGAAAGCUGGUGCUGUGGCACCUGGAUGUCUGGGGCUGAUGGUAAGUGCUCCCUGGGCAGGAGGACCAAGCCUUCUGCUGCCGUGCAGGAGUCUGCCAGGAGCGACUUACAGGGACUUGGUAGCUGCUGGCAGUGUCUAAGUGAUGUCCUUAUUAAAUUUAGAGGAAGGAGAACUGCCUUUCCUGGGAUGAAAGGAGAGGGUUGAAAUAAGAACUCUUCAAGAGCUAGUGCUGAAGAUUUCUUUUAGAAAUGUGUGUAGAAAAAUCAUGUUCUGCAUCUGAAAGAUUCGUGUUAUCAAAUAUAUAUAUAUAUACAUAUAUACACAUACUUUAAAGAGAAAGCUUGUUGCAGUUGUGCUUUGAUGAUUUUCCCUCACGUGAACACAGGCAAUUAGGAGCUUUCAGUCCUUUCCUUAACAUGCUACUUAAUUAUGAACCAAGAUGUUGAGCUAAUUAAAGAGUGAUUGCAGUUAAAUGCCUGAUCUGCCUUAGCAAUUGAAAUGUAUUUUGUGCCUUCUGUAGUGUGGUGGAUUACAAAUGCAGACGUCGUGGCUGCAGGCUGAGAAGGGCCUGGGGCUUGCAUUGCUCUUCCUUUUGCAGGUAGGAGCCCGUCAGCCCGCGCCAGUCUGCUGCACCAUCCUUCAUCCUGGUCUAGCACCACAGGUAAGAAAAAGGUUGUGAUUUGUAACCAAGAAAGGGGGCUUCCUGUUCUAGGUUACAAAAAACCUCUGUAGCUCCCUGCCCCAUGGUACCCCCCACAGCCUCCCAGCCUUCACUACAUUGUCACCUGUGGUUUGCUUUAAACCCUUGGUUAAGCCCUAAUGCAGUGAAUGGCUCUUAAAGUACCUACACAUUUAAUGAAAGUGCUCGGUAUUUACUUUUUUUAACCUUUUCUGUAUGUUUCUCAACAAAAUAAUUACAAUGGUGGUCAAGUGUAUUUUAUCACAGAAGGUGGUACUGAAGGUUUGUCAGUUGGUUUUUAUUUAUUUUUUUCUCACCUUAUUGUUGCAUCCUUGCUCUGGAAAAGAAUUUCUGAAGGCAUUUUUGAUGCUCUGGGAGUAGAGAAAGGGAAUGUGAUGUUUCUGUAGGAGUAGGUGGGGAAAAGGCUGUGUAAUGUGCUUCGGAUAACUAUAAGCUGUAAGACCUUCACCCCACAGCGUCUUCCACAUAAGUCUUAACUUUAUUACUUUCUGUAAACAAAGCUAAUAAUGAAAGCAAGAUAAUAAUACCAAAAAUAAAAUGCUUGGGACCAUCUGGAAAUCGAAGGCUUACUGUUGGUCCGACACACUGCAGCCAUCGCACCGCAGCAGGGCCGGGCCCACCUGAGCGGUGUGGGUAGCAGGGCAUCGAUCCUGUGCACUGCAAAUACAGAGCUGUAACAGUCUAGGAAAUAAUAUUUUGUUUAAACAUACCUAAAUACAAGUAAAAGAAGCUAUUCUUCUGCAAGUUAAUACGGUUAAGUGAUGCCUAAAAUGGGGAGCCAUUUGGGGAAAAAGUUGGACAAAUUCUUCUAUUCUUGUGGAGAUGUUUUCCAAAAUGAAGACCAUACUAGAUUUCCACUAGUGUAGGUAAAUUAACGAAGGGUACCAUAAGUUACAGACCCUUAGAGAUGUAAGUGAGCCUCUGUUGUAGAAGCAGCUAUUAGUAAUAGCCUCUCCAGGAGGAUUUAUUUUAUGUUUUAGAAGUGGUUUUACAUACCCGUGUGAGGUGCUGCUAUGGAGUUAUAUUUGCAUCCAUGUGGGAUGUCUUCUGUUCUUAAAAAUGCUGACAUUUCCAUGGCUCCAAAAUGUUCAGCGUAGAUGGAAACUCAGUUUCAAAAGCUGAUGUGAAUUAAUGCUGUGAUAUGGCCAAACAUUUGCCUGCUACAGAAGGCGUAAUGUUUUACCCAGGCUGCUAGGAACAUACUUCAAAAAGGGCACAGAUGCAGUUAUUGGACACUAAAAUUGAGCAAGAAGUUACUAAGAGAAAAUCCAGCUGAGGGAGCCCACAAAGCUGCUUCUGUCUGGGGUUUAAAAAUAAAAAUAAUAAUAACGAAAACCUCAACAUCUAAUCGUUCCCCAACCAUGAAACUGGCAUUUUUCGCUGAUAGCACUGAACUGUGAUUCUCGCUGCUUCUUCAGAAAAGAAAAAACAUGCCCAGUAUGACAGUCUGCCUGCUCUGGUAAAAACAUUUGUUGUUCAGAAGAUCUAGUUAAUACGGAGCUGUUAAUUGUCUGACCAUUAAAUUACUUGGCUUCUACUUAGUCCCCACUGGGGACUAAUUUUAAAUUCAAUUAGCACAGAAUUUAAAGGAAUAUGGUUGAGGGAUUGUAGAAGGCUACAGAGAUAUGAAAUUGUGCUUGAUAAGAUGCAGCCAGGAAAGGGAAGCUUUUAAUCUCGAUUUCAAGGUGUUGAACCAGGAAAAACUCCUACAGAGAAAUGAGGUUCCCUUUGAAUGCACAUACACAAAUGAGAUUCCUUUAUGGUAAUGCACUGUGAUUUCUUAAUGUAUUUCAAACAAACUAUUAAUUAGAAUUAGGAUCAAUCAAUAAAAACCUCAGGGAUUAAAGGUCAUGGGGGGUAUCUAUGGGUUCACACAUUGAAGUCUUAGCCAGUACCUGAAGAAUCCAAAGUGUCUCAAUGCCACUUCCAUCAUUUUCACUCAACCACAAGCAAGACCAGUGAGAAAUCUUGCUAGCUGGCCUGAUUUUCAGAUGAAUUUUGCAACUGCAAUAAAUUUAGGCAAGCGCUCAGCUCAGAGACUGACUGUUCGUUUUAUUACACACAAAUACAGCCGCUUUUAUUUUAAACUGCUGAGAGGUUUAUGGAGGUGGAGCAUAGAUUUGCAAAGUGAGAUUUGGCUCAGGCUGAUCUUGCUUGAGAAAACCUUCAUC
rnacentral:lncRNA from 1 species